rnacentral:rRNA from 1 species
GACGAACGCUGGCGGCGCGCCUAACACAUGCAAGUCGAACGAGAGAUGAGGAGCUUGCUCUUCAAAUCGAGUGGCGAACGGGUGAGUAACGCGUGAGGAACCUGCCUCAAAGAGGGGGACAACAGUUGGAAACGACUGCUAAUACCGCAUAAGCGCACAGUACCGCAUGGUACAGAGCGAAAAACUCCGGUGGUAUAGGAUGGACCCGCGUCUGAUUAGUUAGUUGGCGGUGUAACGGACCACCAAGACGACGAUCAGUAGCCGGCUUGAGAGAGUGAACGGCCACAUUGGGACUGAGACACGGCCCAAACUCCUACGGGAGGCAGCAGUGGGGAAUAUUGCACAAUGGGGGAAACCCUGAUGCAGCAACGCCGCGUGAGUGAAGAAGUAUUUCGGAUGUAAAGCUCUAUCAGCAGGGAAGAAAAAUGACGGUACCUGACUAAGAAGCCCCGGNUAACUACGUG